rnacentral:misc_RNA from 1 species
GGAACCUUCUCUUCGAGGCAUCCUUUUAAAAAAACCCAUAACAUCGUGAAAGCGGUGUAGCUUAAAACUGAGUACAAUUCCUUAUGGGCAAGCUAGAUGUCAGUUGUGAGAGUACCUAGUCAAAUAGCAUGAGAUGCAUCCCGGGUAACUGGAUAUAUGCUCAGGCUAUACGAUAUAUCCCGAGCUCAUUGCACUAAUUUAUUAUAAAACGUGAUAGUAAGGAAAUAUACCAACGACCAUUCUUACUUCAUGUUUAGCAAGUUUAACUGUCCCGUCAUACCAAUUGCAGGUGGCGAGAGGCGGUUUCAAAUGCGUCCCAGAUUCCCAAGGGCACCUUCUCACUGCAGGACGGAG